GAAGGUAUUGUUUAAGUGAUAGAACACCUGCUUAUCAAACAUUAGGUCCUGAGUUCAAUCCCCAGUACUAUCA
rnacentral:tRNA from 1 species